rnacentral:rRNA from 1 species
UGCAAGUCGAGCGGUAGAGGGGUGCUUGCACUCCUUGAGAGCGGCGGACGGGUGAGUAAUGCCUAGGAAUCUGCCUGGUAGUGGGGGAUAACGUUCGGAAACGGACGCUAAUACCGCAUACGUCCUACGGGAGAAAGCAGGGGACCUUCGGGCCUUGCGCUAUCAGAUGAGCCUAGGUCGGAUUAGCUAGUUGGUGAGGUAAUGGCUCACCAAGGCGACGAUCCGUAACUGGUCUGAGAGGAUGAUCAGUCACACUGGAACUGAGACACGGUCCAGACUCCUACGGGAGGCAGCAGUGGGGAAUAUUGGACAAUGGGCGCAAGCCUGAUCCAGCCAUGCCGCGUGUGUGAAGAAGGUCUUCGGAUUGUAAAGCACUUUAAGUUGGGAGGAAGGGUUGUAGAUUAAUACUCUGCAAUUUUGACGUUACCGACAGAAUAAGCACCGGCUAACUCUGUGCCAGCAGCCGCGGUAAUACAGAGGGUGCAAGCGUUAAUCGGAAUUACUGGGCGUAAAGCGCGCGUAGGUGGUUAUGUAAGUUGAAUGUGAAAUCCCCGGGCUCAACCUGGGAACUGCAUCCAAAACUGCAUGGCUAGAGUACGGUAGAGGGUGGUGGAAUUUCCUGUGUAGCGGUGAAAUGCGUAGAUAUAGGAAGGAACACCAGUGGCGAAGGCGACCACCUGGACUGAUACUGACACUGAGGUGCGAAAGCGUGGGGAGCAAACAGGAUUAGAUACCCUGGUAGUCCACGCCGUAAACGAUGUCAACUAGCCGUUGGGUUCCUUGAGAACUUAGUGGCGCAGCUAACGCAUUAAGUUGACCGCCUGGGGAGUAC